rnacentral:rRNA from 1 species
GACAGAGGUGCCAAGCGUUAGGCGGAAUCACUGGGCUUAAAAGCGUGUGUAGGCGGGUGCCUAAGUACCUUGUGAAAUCCCACGGCUCAACCGUGGAACUGCUGGGUAUACUGGGUGCCUUGGGUCAUCUAGGGGCUGCCGGAACAAAUGGUGGAGCGGUGAAAUGCGUAGAUAUCAUUUGGAACGCCAACGGCGAAAGCAGGCAGCUGGGGAUGCACCGACGCUGAGACACGAAAGCCAGGGGAGCGAACGGGA